rnacentral:rRNA from 1 species
CCUACGGGCGGCAGCAGUGAGGAAUAUUGGUCAAUGGACGAGAGUCUGAACCAGCCAAGUCGCGUGAGGGAAGACUGCCCUACGGGUUGUAAACCUCUUUUAUAUGGGAGCAAAAUGCUCCUCGUGUCCUCUUUUGUAUGUACCUUACGAAUAAGCAUCGGCUAACUCCGUGCCAGCAGCCGCGGUAAUUCGGAGGAUCCGAGCGUUAUCCGGAUUUAUUGGGUUUAAAGGGUGCGUAGGCGGGUUGUUAAGUCAGCUGUGAAAGUUUGCGGCUCAACCCUACAGUUGCAGUUGAAACUGGCAGGCUUGAGUGCGGUAGAGGUAGGCGGAAUGCGUGGUGUAGCGGUGAAAUGCAUAGAUAUCACGAAGAACUCCGAUUGCGAAGGCAGCUCACUGGAGUGCAACUGACGCUGAGGCACGAAAGUGUGGGUAUCGAACAGGAUUAGAUACCCUAGUAGUC